UGGAUUCUCCUUUAAAAUGUUGGCCUAGU
rnacentral:piRNA from 1 species